GUUCAGGGAUAGUGCCCAGGGCCUGAGUUCAAGCCCAGGACUGACAAAAAUAAAUAAAUUAAUAAUAAUAAUAAAGCAUAUUAUAAAUUACAAGGAAGUAUUAUUGCAACAAGAAACAAAUAGGCUUCUCUAAUCAAAAAGUUAAAAAUCAACAGGGCUCUGUUAGCUCAUGCCUAUAAUCCUAGAUACUUAGGAAGAUGGGACUGAGAAGGCUGAGGUUCAAGGCCAACCCAGGCGGUAGAGUCGUUCAGACUGCUGGGCACUGUAACAUAAGCCUGUUAUCCUAGCUACAAUGAACGUAAGUGAACAGUGUCUAGCCUCACACCCAAACAUAGAACAAGACUCUAUCACAAAACUAACCAGCAAAAUCA